rnacentral:rRNA from 1 species
GAUGAACGCUGGCGGCGUGCCUAAUACAUGCAAGUCGAGCGAACAGACGAGGAGCUUGCUCCUCUGACGUUAGCGGCGGACGGGUGUGUCACACGUGGAUAACCUACCUAUAAGACUGGGAUAACUUCGGGAAACCGGAGCUAAUACCGGAUAAUAUAUUGAACCGCAUGGUUCAGUAGUGAAAGACGGUUUUACUGUGACUUAUAGAUGGAUCAGCGCCGCAUUAGCUUGUUGGUAAGGUAACGCCUUACCAAGGCAACGAUGCGUAGCCGACGUGAGAGGGUGAUCGGCCACACUGGAACUGAGACACGGUCCAUACUCCUACGGGAGGCAGCAGUAGGGAAUCGUCCGCAAUGGGCGAAAGCCUGACGGAGCAACGCCGCGUGAGUGAUGAAGGUCUUCGGAUCGUAAAACUCUGUUACUAGGGAAGAACAAAUGUGUAAGUAACCAUGCACGUCUUGACGGUACCUAAUCAGAAAGCCCCGGCUAACUACGUG